UGGUGACCAUAGAGCGUUGGAACCACCCGAUCCCAUCCCGAACUCGGAAGUGAAACGAUGCAUCGCCGAUGGUAGUGUGGGGAUUCCCCAUGUGAGAGUAGGUCAUCGCCAGGCA
rnacentral:rRNA from 1 species